GCAUGCGUGGCCGAGUGGUCUAAGGCGUCCGACUCAAGUUCGGAUAUCUCCGGAUGCGUGAGUUCAAAUCUCACCGCAUGCA
rnacentral:tRNA from 1 species